rnacentral:tRNA from 1 species
GGUGCUGUAGCUCAGUCGGUAGAGCAUUGGACUGAAAAUCCAUGUGUCACUGGUUCGAACCCGGUCAGCACCA